rnacentral:rRNA from 1 species
UGAGGAAUAUUGGUCAAUGGGCGAGAGCCUGAACCAGCCAAGUAGCGUGAAGGAUGACUGCCCUAUGGGUUGUAAACUUCUUUUAUAAAGGAAUAAAGUCGGGUAUGCAUACCCGUUUGCAUGUACUUUAUGAAUAAGGAUCGGCUAACUCCGUGCCAGCAGCCGCGGUAAUACGGAGGAUCCGAGCGUUAUCCGGAUUUAUUGGGUUUAAAGGGAGCGUAGAUGGAUGUUUAAGUCAGUUGUGAAAGUUUGCGGCUCAACCGUAAAAUUGCAGUUGAUACUGGAUGUCUUGAGUGCAGUUGAGGCAGGCGGAAUUCGUGGUGUAGCGGUGAAAUGCUUAGAUAUCACGAAGAACUCCGAUUGCGAAGGCAGCCUGCUAAGCUGCAACUGACAUUGAGGCUCGAAAGUGUGGGUAUCAAACAGG